rnacentral:rRNA from 1 species
GUUGUUGGGUAGGGGAGCGUUCUGUAAGCCUGUGAAGGUGGCCUGUGAGGGUUGCUGGAGGUAUCAGAAGUGCGAAUGCUGACAUAAGUAACGAUAAAGCGGGUGAAAAGCCCGCUCGCCGGAAGACAACGCCAAUAUGCACGCCGUCGAAGCGUUCCUGAUUGUUUAUGACGUUACCCAUGACAAAAAAUGGCUGGAUCGCGCGCUGCGUAUCGCGUCGGUAAUUAUUCAUGAUGUGGCGCGCAACGGUGAU